AGUCUACUGAGUCCGCGUUGAGAUUUAGUCAGAUACCAGACCGACAGGACUGAUGAGACUCCAAAGGUUAGUGAAGCG
rnacentral:pre_miRNA from 1 species